AUGAGCGGCGGCGGCCGGAAGCCGGUGGGCGACGAUGCGGAGGUGGAAGCGCUGCUCCGGGCGGCGCAGGACGCCGUGCUCCUAAAGCUCCAGGCCAACUCCCACCUCGUCUCGUCGUCGUUCUCCGCCGCUUCGAACCCUCUUGCACUGGACGAGGGGCCCGGUCCACUGGACGACGACCUCGCCCGCCGCCUCGACGCGCUCAGGUCCCGCCCGCCGGCGCCGAAGCGGCCAGGUGCUGCCCCCGCCCCUACAGCCGGCGGGAUGGACGAGAUGGAGGCACGGUUCGCGGCGCUGAAAGGCGCGGCGGUUUGCCCUGAGAAGGAGACGAGGGUGCGGCUGGAGGAUCUGGGAGGGGAAUCGGACGAGGAGGACGAGGUGGAGAAGGUGAUGCGGUGGGCGAUGGACGCCGCGCGGCUCGACGUCGCCACUGCCGGCAGUGGUGCCAGCAACGCCGAGGAGAAGGAAGAGGGAGACAAGAGCAGCACGAGUAGCGAGGACGAGGAAGAGAGACUGGAACUGGAGGAGAAGAGGAAGGAGAUGAUGAGCAAGAAGAACAAGGCUAAGAGCAGGUGGUUCUUCUUUUGA
rnacentral:rRNA from 1 species